rnacentral:rRNA from 1 species
AUUGAACGCUGGCGGCAGGCCUAACACAUGCAAGUCGAGCGAGCGGCGGACGGGUGAGUAAUGUAUGGGGACUGCCCGAUAGAGGGGGAUAACUACUGGAAACGGUAGCUAAUACCGCAUACUAUCGGAUAACCCAUAUGGGGUUAGCUAGUAGGUGAGGUAAUGGCUCCCCUAGGCACCGAACCCUAGCUGGUCUGAGAGGAUGAUCAGCCACCCUGGAACUGAGACCCGGCCCAGACUCUUACGGAGGCAGCAGUGGGGAAUAGUGCACAAGGGGCGCAGGCCUGAUGCAGCCAUGCCGCGUGUAUGAAGAAGGCCCUAGGGUUGUAAAGUACUUUCAGUCGGGAGGCGUUACCGACAGAAGAAGCACCGGCUAACUCCGUGCCAGCAGCCGCGGUAAUAC